AUCCAGAUGAUGAGUCCCAAAUAGGACGAAGCGCUCACCCUGUAU
rnacentral:hammerhead_ribozyme from 1 species